GGGACAUGGGGCGGCGCGAGCCCGGCGCGGGACGGCGCGAGACGCGGCGGAGGUUGCGGCCACGAGCGGCCGGCAGCCCCAGAUAGAGCCGGGACCCGAGGGCCGGGCCCCGCCGACUCGGGACAGGAGCCGACGCCCGUCCUCGAGCCUAUUCUGCCCCAGCCCCGGAGGGAUCCGGGUUCCCUUCCUACGGCUCGCGACUUCCCUCUGUGACGAAGUUUUCUCCCGGUGCCUUCCUGAGGAUCCUUCUUAGUUCUUGAGCUCGCCUUGUGGCCGACUUGCUCGGUUUGUUUGGGGAGAUAACUUGUUUUGCUUCAACCCGCAUCCCCUUUCCUUGACCCUUUGCAAUCGGAUGUUCUAGAUGACUGAAUGGAGUUUUGAGUUGGACUUUUGUGUCCCUGCCGAAAUUGGGCCUGAUCCCAGAGUACUGGGGGUGGGGUGUGGAGGUGUUACUGUAAAAUGCAAGUUGGAUAAAAAGAAGACCUCUCGCCAAGGGCCCCAAUGAGUGGCACACAGUCUACUAUCACGGACAGGU
rnacentral:lncRNA from 1 species